AACGAACGCUGGCGGCGCGCCUAAUACAUGCAAGUCGAGCGAGAAGGUGUAGCAAUACACUUGUAAAGCGGCGAACGGGUGAGGAAUACAUGGGUAAUCUACCAUCGAGUGGGGAAUAACCAGCCGAAAGGUUGGCUAAUACCGCGUACGCCUCCGAGUCUUCGGGUUCGGAGGGAAAGCUGCACUGUGAGUGCAGCGCUCUUUGAUGAGCUCAUGUCCUAUCAGCUUGUUGGUAGGGUAACGGCCUACCAAGGCUUUGACGGGUAGCUGGUCUGAGAGGACGAUCAGCCACACUGGCACUGCGACACGGUCCAGACUCCUACGGGAGGCAGCAGUGGGGAAUUUUGGGCAAUGAGCGAAAGCUUGACCCAGCGACACUGCGUGGGCGAAGAAGAUCUUUGGAUUGUAAAGCCCUUUUGGCGGGGACGAUAAUGACGGUACCCGCAGAAUAAGCCCCGGCUAACUUCGUGCCAGCAGCCGCGGUAAUUCUCGCG
rnacentral:rRNA from 1 species